rnacentral:sRNA from 1 species
GCUGGGUGUGGUGGCAUACGCCUGUAAUCCCAGCAGCUCGGGAGGCUGAGGAAGGAGGAUCAUUAGUUCAAAGCUAAACAAUUCAGUGAGACCCUGCCUCUA